CCUACGGGAGGCAGCAGUGAGGAAUAUUGGUCAAUGGCCGGAAGGCUGAACCAGCCAUGCCGCGUGAAGGUCAGUGCCCUAUGGGCGUUAAACUUCUUUUGUGCGGGAGCAAUAAUGGUCACGUGUGGCCAGACGAGAGUACCGUACGAAUAAGCAUCGGCUAACUCCGUGCCCGCAGCCGCGGUAAUACGGGGGGUGCAAGCGUUAUCCGGAUUUAUUGGGUUUAAAGGGUGCGUGGGCUGGGAGGUAAGUCAGCGGUGAAAUGCCCCCGCUCAACGGGGUGAAGUGCACUUGAUACUGCCAUGCUGGAAUGCGGAAGCCGGGGGAGGAAUGUGUGGUGUAGCGGUGAAAUGCAUAGAGAUCACACAGAACACCGAUUGCGAAGGCAUCUCACGAAUCCGCGAUUGACGCUGAUGCACGAAAGCGUGGGUAUCAAACAGGAUUAGAUACCCUAGUAGUC
rnacentral:rRNA from 1 species